CGUCUCGGCCUCCCAAAGUGCUGGGAUUACAGGCUUGAGCCACCGCGCCCGGCCACAUUGAUUUCUUUGAACUAAAGGCACUUCAGAAACAGCAGGUGCAGAAAGGGUGCUCUGACCUCCCCUUUUCUUCCUGAAAGCAGGAGCGAAAAUGCCCUGUGAAAGACGCCCUCCCUAUGCUAGGAGGAAGAAAGACAUUCUUAUUACCGGAUAAGGAGAGUCGAGGCCAAAAGAAAACCGAAUGACUUGAUCCUGAGAGUCUUGUGAGAAGCUGUGGCGAGAAGCGGAGUCAACCACACACCACGAUGGUGGAGAAAGAUAAUGUUUAAUUUAUAAAUUAGGCACAGUUAAGAGAUGAACAGCAAUAAUUAAUCAUACACUAUACAAUAGAACAAUUAUAACAAUAUACUCUAACAGAAGUUAUGUGAUGGUGA